GACGAACGCUGGCGGCGUGCCUAAUACAUGCAAGUUGAGCGCUGAAGGUUGGUACUUGUACCAACUGGAUGAGCAGCGAACGGGUGAGUAACGCGUGGGGAAUCUGCCUUUGAGCGGGGGACAACAUUUGGAAACGAAUGCUAAUACCGCAUAAAAACUUUAAACACAAGUUUUAAGUUUGAAAGAUGCAAUUGCAUCACUCAAAGAUGAUCCCGCGUUGUAUUAGCUAGUUGGUGAGGUAAAGGCUCACCAAGGCGAUGAUACAUAGCCGACCUGAGAGGGUGAUCGGCCACAUUGGGACUGAGACACGGCCCAAACGCCUACGGGAGGCAGCAGUAGGGAAUCGUCGGCAAUGGACGAAAGUCUGACCGAGCAACGCCGCGUGAGUGAAGAAGGUUUUCGGAUCGUAAAACUCUGUUGGUAGAGAAGAACGUUGGUGAGAGUGGAAAGCUCAUCAAGUGACGGUAACUACCCAGAAAGGGACGGCUAACUACGUG
rnacentral:rRNA from 1 species